CUGUGAAAUACUUUUAUUGUUCCCCCAUUCAUCUGUUUGUUCGGCUAUUUCCCUGUCCUUACGGCCCCCACGCUUGUUUCUUUUAUACCGAACAAUUCACCAAAUGGCCGGCCACCCAGCAUGGAAGUGUGUGGCUGGUUAACCUCUUGGCCUCAUUAGAACGUUGUGGUUAACCGCAGACACUUCCUAAUUGUCGAAUGCCGACUGGGUGGUCGUCGUUCGUAUGCCGACCAUGAGGCGGCGGCCAUCUUGGACAUACGAAUGCUCAGCGGUGUUCGUCGACGUUUUCAUGGAACUAAAAACGGACGCUGUUUCUUCCGAACACCGCUGAAAGCCGCAGACAUCCCUUCUUCUAUUAUGCCAGCAUACGACUGCCGGUCCGAUCGGUAGUUUCUUUUCAUGAAUAGACUUAUCCCAGAUAGCUGUGCCAUGGAGCCCAUUCGUAUAACGAAUGACUAUGUCAAAUACUUUGGCUCAAAGUGUUUUUCACAUGCAACUGUCUUCCACCAGGUCCCCUAGGGGAGUAUCCACCUGGUGGAAGACCUGCAUAAAUACCGGGCAGAUAGCCCAUAACUGCUGACCCUCAAUACGGAGCUUUGUCU